ACAGAAGUUUUUUGCAUCGGAUUGUAGUUAAACAAAAUGAUUAUAGACGACUUGCUAUUACACCCAGCUAUAAAAAAUGAAAAAGGAGAGGUCUACAUGAAAAGGAAAUGUAAUGUGUCAAUAGAAACUCAAACUAAAAGCUGCACGCAAGAUGAACCAUGCCUCUAAAAAUUCUUCAACCACAUCAGGCAGGAAGUAGCCCACCAAACAAUGAAGGCGUGCAACAGACCAGCGACAAUUAUUCAUGGAAACACUAAGCGGCUUCCAAGAAGAUAUAUUAAAGUGACUAUCAUGUAGCCCCAUUAAUUGCAUGUACAGUUUGACUUGAAGUACCUAAGAACAACAUGAAUAAAUCUCAAGAAAGUUUGACUUGAAGUACCUAAUAAGAACAAUAUGAAUAAAUCUCAAGAAAUUUUGGCAAACUAUGAGCUGAAGAUGCAGAUUUUAGUUUCCGUAAAUGACCGAGAUGCAUCUGUAGCUCCAACAUAAAAGAAGUACAACCAACCAUAUAGAUUUGAGAAUACGGUACUUGUCAAGGAUAAAUGGGGGCUAACACAUCUAGCACCAAGUCUGAAUCAACGUGACACUUAUCAGGUUUCUAGAGCAUCUAAUUAAGGGAGCAAAAAAAGAACAAAUUCUAUGUGAAAACGCUAUUAAUGCCUUCAGGUAAAUGCUUCUUCGUGUAUCAUAUAUGGCAGUUUGAUAAAAAAAGUAAGAAAACAAUAUAGCAAAUUAACAUAUAAUUAUGUUUAUCAAGAAGGCAGAAGAUAAUCGAUGAACUAUAACUGGUGUAAAGCUCAUCGCCAAUGUGAAGUAUUAAC
rnacentral:lncRNA from 1 species